GCCAAAAUAUCUCAGGUGGGAGAGCAUUAGACUGAAGAUCUAAGGGUACCUGGUUCAAUCCCCGGGUUUUGGCA